rnacentral:rRNA from 1 species
ACGUAGGUGGCAAGCGUUGUCCGGAAUUAUUGGGCGUAAAGCGCGCGCAGGUGGCUAUGUAAGUCUGAUGUUAAAGCCCGGGGCUCAACCUCGGUUCGCAUUGGAAACUGCGUAGCUUGAGUGCAGGAGAGGAAAGUGGUAUUCCACGUGUAGCGGUGAAAUGCGUAGAGAUGUGGAGGAACACCAGUGGCGAAGGCGACUUUCUGGCCUGUAACUGACACUGAGGCGCGAAAGCGUGGGGAGCAAACAGGA